UACGGGGGGAGCAAGCGUUGUUCGGAUUUACUGGGCGUAAAGGGCGCGUAGGCGGCCACCGCAAGUCGACUGUGAAAUCUCCGGGCUUAACCCGGAAAGGUCAGCCGAUACUGCGGGGCUAGAGUGCAGAAGGGGCAACUGGAAUUCUCGGUGUAGCGGUGAAAUGCGUAGAUAUCGAGAGGAACACCUGCGGCGAAGGCGGGUUGCUGGGCUGACACUGACGCUGAUGCGCGAAAGUUAGGGGAGCGAACGGG
rnacentral:rRNA from 1 species